rnacentral:rRNA from 1 species
CCUACGGGGGGCAGCAGUGAGGAAUAUUGGUCAAUGGGCGGAAGCCUGAACCAGCCAAGUCGCGUGAGGGAUUAAGGCCCUAUGGGUCGUAAACCUCUUUUGUCAGGGAGCAAUGGCGUCCACGUGUGGGCGUAUGGAGAGUACCUGAAGAAAAAGCAUAGGAUAACCCCGUGCCAGCAGCCGCGGUAAUACGGGGGAUGCGAGGGUUAUCGGGAUUUAUUGGGUUUAAAGGGUGCGUAGGCGGGACCUCAAGUCAGCGGUAAAAUUUCGGGGCUCAACCCCGUCGUGCCGUUGAAACUGGCGUUCUUGAGUGAGCGAGAAGUAUGCGGAAUGCGUGGUGUAGCGGUGAAAUGCAUAGAUAUCACGCAGAACUCCGAUUGCGAAGGCAGCAUACCGGCGCUCAACUGACGCUCAUGCACGAAAGCGUGGGUAUCGAACAGGAUUAGAUACCCCUGUAGUC